UUUCUACUCCCUUCGUCCGAAAAUACUUGUCAUCAAAUGGAUAAAAAGAGAUGUAUCUAAAACUAAAAUACGUCUAGAUACAUUUCCUUUUAUCCAUUUUGAUGACAAGUAUUUCCGGACGGAGGGAGUAUUUG
rnacentral:pre_miRNA from 1 species